CUUCUUCAGAGAUACAACGGCAGGUGCAUCGGCCUCCCUCUUCUUCAGAGAUACAACGGCAGGUGCGUCAGCUUCCCUCUUCUUCAGAGAUACAACGGCAGGGGCGUCUGCUUCCCUCUUCUUUUGAGAUACAACGGCAGGUGCAUCGGCUUCCCUCUUCUUCAG